ensembl:snRNA
GUGUUGUAUGAAAGGAGAGAAGGGUAGCACUCCCCUUGACAAGGAUGGAAGAGGCUCUUGGGCCUGAACAACACGCACACGGUUAAGGCAUUGCCACCUACUUCGCGGCAUCUAACCAUCGUUUCUC